GACGAACGCUGGCGGCGUGCUUAACACAUGCAAGUCGAACGGAAAGGCCCCUUUGGGGGCUCUAGUGUGGCGAAGGGGAGAGUAACACGGGAGUAACCCGCCCUUGUUUUGGGGAAAACUGCAGGAAACGGGGGAAUAUCCCGGAUAGCAACCCGUGCCGCAUGGUGGGGGUUGGAAAGCUUCGGGGGUGUUGGGUGGGCUCGCGGGUUAUCAGCUUGUUGGGGGGGUAGUGGGUUACCAAGGCCUUGACGGGUAGCCGGCCUGAGGGGGCGACCGGCCACAUUGGGGCUGGGGUACGGCCCAGGCUCCUACGGGAGGCAACAGGGGGGAAAAUUGCACAAUGGGCGGCAGGCUGGUGCAGCAGCGCCGCGUGCGGGAUGGCGGCCUUCGGGUUGUAAACCGCUUUCAGCAGGGGCGAAGCUUGUGGUGACGGUACCUGCAGAAGAAGCACCGGCUAACUACGUG
rnacentral:rRNA from 1 species